CCACGCCCGGGCCGUGCUGGUGCUGCAGCUGGAAGUCGUCCACCACAUCUGGCAGCAUGGACCUAGGGGCAGAUCCCCAAUGCGGAUGUCCUCUUCCCAAAUCGCUGGAGAACCCACUCCCACAGUGGGGUGCUCAGCACAGCAGAGACCUGUGAGUAGACAGCAUCAUCCGACCAGGGCCCUGAAGUCCACAACUGCUCCCAGAUCUCACAGCCCUUGCUUUGACACCCAGCCUCGGACUGUCUGGUUUGAACCAGUAACUAUCAACUUUGAGCCUGGGCCCCAACUCCACCCUCUGCUGGAAUGAGACUAAAAUAUAACCGUUAGAACUUUA